rnacentral:misc_RNA from 1 species
GUUGGUGAACCAGCGGAGGGAUCAUUACCGAGUUUCGCAACUCCCACACCCCGCGCGAACGUGCCCCGACGUUGCUUCGGCGGGCCGCCCCAGGGCGCCCGCCGGGGGACCCAGAGACGCCUGUCUGUGCCGACGAAUUUUUCCGGGUGAGCGAGCAGAAUGAAUCAAAACUUUCAACAACGGAUCUCUUGGUUCUG